CCCGGGGGUUUUUAUGAAUGAAAGGGCCGUAUGCAAAUAAGCGCGGCCCGGGGGGAGCGCGAAAUGGCGGAUGCGCGGGCGGGCGGCGCGCACACGAACGCGCGUGUCCGCGUCCCUCUGUCCGCCCGCGGCCGGUCCGUCGGUCCGCCCGUGCGCGGGGUGCGGGGGUGAGCGACCCGCACCGCUUCCCGCCGGGGCAACAAAGGCUGCCACCCCUUCCGUCCCCCCCGCCCGCCCGCCGCCCCCGGCCCCGCUCACUCGUCAGGGUCCUCUGUGAUCGGGCAAUCCUGGGACAAAAAAUGAGUCUGUGCCACCUAAGCACAUCACCUUGCCCUCCAGCUUUUGCAGGCUCCUCCACUGCAGCAUCCYUUUCCCACUGCAGGAACAGAAAUAGAAACUUGGAGAAAAAUCUGUGAAUUGCCAGUAAUGAGAUGGAGGCAAGAGCUGAUGAAAGCUUUGAGGUCUUCUUUAUAGGCAGUCACCCCCAGGGAGAAGCAGCAUGUCCUUUGGAGGUGGUACCAGAACCUGCAGCUUUGUGGCACAAUGUUAUAGUAACGCUCCUGUCACUGCUAGAGGUUUGGCCAUAACACCAGAUAAUGUGUGGGAGUACAAGCUUGCUGCUCUCCCCUUGGCAGACUGUGGGUGCUCUUUUGGGUGGCAGUGCUGCCUAUCCCCCACCCCCUUCCCACCCCUUCCUUUGCAAAGCACAGUUUGUCACCCCCUGGGCUGUGCUAAUGCAUCCCCCGCUGAGGAGUGACACUUCUGGAUCCGCUAAAUGGUCCCAGCUAAUAAUACCCCCCAGUACCUCUUUCUUUUGGAAAGUUAUUCAAGGAUCCAGCUUGCAGAAUGGCAUGAUAAACAUCUUGGCAAAGCUGAGCUGGCAGCAAAAGGAAGUGUCAGGGCAGGAGCAAGCGGUUGGGGGCAAGGAAAUGGCAAGAACGUCUUCAGCUGCUGUAUAAUAAAAGACCAGAUGUAAUGAUUUGAUGCAUUUCCACCCAUCCUAUGUCUUUUUUUUCCCCCAAAGGAUGCUGAGAUUGCACAGACCUCUAACAUCCUCCAAAUCUUUCAUGCCARAAAUGUCUGUGAUUAGCAGGAACGUUGAUGUGCCUGAAGUGGGGAGCAUGGCAUUUAGCAGUUGGUUACUACAGAAGCCGAAUAUGGGGAGAGUUAUAGCCACGUGAAAAACCCAGGGCACAAUCGUGUAAUUAAAAGGCCAUUAUAAUGGUUAUACCACUGAGGGGGACUGGGUAUUAAUCACUGUCUGAUUAAUACCUGAGAGCUUGUCUGUGUGAUCURGAUGUAUUUUUAUGUGCUCAUGUUGUGUGUGCGCAUAUUUAUCCCGAUGGUGAGAAGCAAAUGUGUCUGAGGCUUGGAAGCUGAAGUUUUACUUUAUCUAGCUUCUUGAGUCAUUUCCUGGGGAUUUGCAAGAUCUCUUAUUUGAUCUCUGCUUUCACUGUCCUGCUAAUUCGCAAGCUGCUAAGCGAUUUAUUCUCUUCAUGAUUUCUCUCACUCGCUGCACAAUCCUCUCACUGUUACUUCCACUGCAGUAUUGAAUUUUACUUUUCUAAUAUUCAGGUUACUGUGCCGGUUCUUGCAAGCAGCGCGUUCGAGCUGACUGACUUUUCUGAAUGAAAGGGCUCUCUCUCAGAGGUGUGAUUUCUGUUUGUGCAUUGUGUUGUUUGUAUACACAGCUUCUGCUUAGACACAGAAUAGCGCUUCCCUGGGAUGCGAUCGUUACGGUACCUAGAAUUAAUUAGCCUUUGGUGGCAGAGCUUCAAGGCAGCAGCUCCUGCAUACUAACGAUUUGCCUGCUAUGACUGUCCUGUGUUUUACAUUCAAAAGAAACAUUUAUUUUGCAGAGUAAUACUUCAGCUGUUGCAGAGAACCUUGUUUCUGCUUGGAUUGGAAUAAACUUCCUGAGUGCUGUUACACCUUUAGCCAACACUUAUUUAGGGUAAGAACCACUGGAAUUUGAAGUGUCAAAGUUUAGCAUGGUGUUUACUGCAGCCUUGCAACGUAGCCUCCUACCUUCACUCUUACUUGCAAAACCUUUCAGUUUUUGAGCUGAAAUCUUCCACACUGUUGAUUUAGGAACCUAAAUAUGAAUGUUGGUACCCUGUUGRCUGUGCUGAAUUCAAUGAUUUUUCCACUGACUCACUUGGUGACUUUGAAUGAGUGAGGAGUGGAAGUCAGCAGUCCUGAAUCAUGCCAUCCUCCAGACAAUUACUCCCCUCCCCAAUAAUUCUUUUGAGCGGCAAUCAUAUUUUAAAAGCAAUGAUUACAUUGUGUUUUAGCCCAUCAUAAUUGCUCAAAAUUUAAGAGCUGGAGAAGCAAUCUGCAACAAUUUGUAGUCAAAGUGAAGUCUUUCAGAGCUGACACUUUUUGGGAGGUCACAGAGUUUGAAAAUACUAAAGUUUUUUUUCAGCAGGAGUGGRAUUUCACCAUGUGGUUUGGAGAAUUGUUGGGAUCCUUGCAGGCAAGUGCCAGGGCAAGAGGAUGUGGAGUGCUCCUUGGACUUUUCCCAGGAUGUUCAUUUGGAGGCUGGUAAGAUCAGAGCAGGCAAGAGUAAAGGACCCUUCCUUGCUGCCAGAUGGGCUGACUAUCCCRCUGUUUUCUCCAUUUUCUGGUUUUUGUAACCCUGUGUUUUACU